rnacentral:lncRNA from 1 species
CCCAAAGUGCUGGGAUUACAGACAUGAGCCACCACGCCCAGACCCUUGCUUUACUUUCAUUUGGCAUAUGGUUUUUUCCACAGUGAUGACCAACAAAUGAAACUGUGCACCUUUGAAAGAGACUCUGCAGUUACAUUUCAGCUCUAAUAUCCCACACACAGGUAUCCUUGCAUCCUGUGAGGGGGAGGAGGUGCAGGCACUAAGCAGAUUCCUGGAAAUCAAUGGCCAGAGGCGAUGUUUUCAGAGAGGCCUUCAUCCUUCUCCUAACAUUGCUUUGGUCUCCAGGCCCAUGCACUGCUAAGAUCCCAAGAUUCAGACUGGGGGAUGGGAGUUGAGGAGAUGCCACCUUUAGGCUGAGCUGGGAGCUUCUGUCCACCUUUAUCAGACUUGAUCAGACUGUGCACCCUGGGGUAUCACCCUCUGCUUCAAUUAACACAAUGACUUCCCACCUUCGCAUCCUCCUCCUUCAAGGGGGACUUGGCUCGGUCAAUUAUUUCCUUCACCUUUUGCAUGUUCAGUGUUUUCCUUUCUUCCCGAGGCUUCCCCUCUGUGGACCAACAUGUUCCUCCAUGGCAAAAACAAAAACAACCAGCCCAAACCAGUUCUUUCUGCCCUCCUGCCCUCUGCAGGUCAGCGCUGCCUCCUCCCUCCCUUUCAUGGCAUUGAAUGGUGAGAGUGCAAUACCCUCAGUGGCGCCUAACAGUCAGCAGUGAGCGCUCAGGACCGUCACCCACCUCUGCGGCCGAUGACCCUCUCUUUGGCUCUGGCCCCAGCCGGCCUUGCGCUGUUCCUUCUCACGGUUUUUCCUGGCUCAUCUUCGUGCCCCCUCCCCUGAGGGUCCUGGAGGUCUGAGCCCUCUGGCCGCCUCUCCUCUCUCCUUGCACUCCUCCUCUCAUGGAGCGACCCCGUCUGUGCCACCUUCUCACCUUCCAUGUCACACACCUUCAGCCUUCACUGAGGAGAGAGCAGGGCUGCAGCAUCGUGUUCCAGUCUCAUCCCUCACGGAGCCGAGAACUAAAAAUUGAAACAGAGAAACCUCCUGACAAGGCCGCUGGCAAGUUCAAUGGGAACAACUCAGGUUUUCAGAAAGAAGUAUGAUCCCUGGAGCCAGCGGGUUCAAAAGAACGAAGAGAUUUAUCAAGAAUGAGACAUACCAGACCAGCUGCGUUGCUUUCCAUUGACAGGAAGCAAAUCAGCUGCUCAGGAAAAGGUCAAGCAUGGCACCUGGUCUCAGAGAGGUGUCCGUCAAAGGCUGUCAUAACAGCCCUAUGGACAAGAAGGAGACCUGGGCCAGGAUCUCCAUGAACUGUCCUAAAAUUUCCAAGAGAAGGAGACAUCCGUCAAGUAGAAGACAAAAAGGGAUGCUGACCAGGGAGGCCGGAUGCUGGAUGUGGUCUAGGAGGAAGCCUUGGAAUUUUCUCACUCUGGAUUGUGGAACCACAAAGUCAGCCUGGAGCUGCCUACAUCUGGACACCUAGGCUCCUGUCAGAGCCAGUUUAUUAUUUCCAGUCACUCAUUACUGGGAUUCUCCUCUCCCUGGGGCGUUAUGAAGUUCUGGAGUCUGGAAGUUCAAUAUCAAAGUGCCAGCAUCUGACAAGGGCCUUCUUGCUGAGACAUCCCAUGGCAGAAGCCAAAAGAGCAAGAGAGAGCGAGGGCAAGUGAGCAAAAGGAGGCCAAACUCACUUUUAAAACAGCCCACUCUAGAGAUAACUAACCCACUCCCUCAAAAAUGACAUUAAUCCAUCAGGAGAGCAGAACGCUUAUGACCUAAUCACCUUAUUAGGCCCCACCUCCUAACACUGUUGCAUUGGGGAUUAAGUUUCCAACACAUGAGUUUUGGAGAACACAUUCUCAAACCAUAGCAGCUUCCUUCCAAAACCUGUCUCAACUGCCCAAAGCCUUUUCCAGACUCUUCUUCUACUUGCAAACCCUCUAUUCAAACCAAAGAAACAAUUAAUAUAACCUUAAAUUUACAAAACCAUGUGGUUUGUUAAACAAUCACAU